GAUGAACGCUAGCUACAGGCUUAACACAUGCAAGUCGAGGGGUAACGAGAGGAAAGCUUGCUUUCCUUGUCGACGACCGGCGCACGGGUGAGUAACGCGUAUCCAACCUGCCCCCAACUAAGGAAUAACCUUGCGAAAGUAAGACUAAUACCUUAUAAUUUCCUCAGAUGUCAUCUGACGAGGAAUAAAGAUUUAUCGGUUGUGGAUGGGGAUGCGUCUGAUUAGCUUGUUGGCGGGGUAACGGCCCACCAAGGCAACGAUCAGUAGGGGUUCUGAGAGGAAGGUCCCCCACAUUGGAACUGAGACACAGUCCAAACUCCUACGGGAGGCAGCAGUGAGGAAUAUUGGUCAAUGGGCGAAAGCCUGAUCCAGCCAAGUAGCGUGCAGGAUGACGGCCCUAUGGGUUGUAAACUGCUUUUAUACAGGAAUAAAGUUAGCCACGUGUGGUUAUUUGUAGGUACUGUAUGAAUAAGGACCGGCUAAUUCCGUGCCAGCCGCCGCGGUAA
rnacentral:rRNA from 1 species